UACGGAGGGGGCUAGCGUUGUUCGGAAUGACUGGGCGUAAAGCGCGCGUAGGCGGCUCAGCAAGUUGGGGGUGAAAUCCCGGGGCUCAACCCCGGAAUGGCCUUCAAAACUCCUGGUCUUGAGUUCGAGAGAGGUGAGUGGAAUUCCGAGUGUAGAGGUGAAAUUCGUAGAUAUUCGGAGGAACACCAGUGGCGAAGGCGGCUCACUGGCUCGACACUGACGCUGAGGUGCGAAAGCGUGGGGAGCAAACAGG
rnacentral:rRNA from 1 species